AGCCUCAGAUACAAACUUCCCAUGGGUAAUCCUCCAGAGCCUUGGGAAAUAAGUGACCUGGGCAAGGAAGGGUCACUGGUAGGCACUGGAGCACUGCCUGCCCUGGGAUGCAUGACCUGUGGCCAGCCAUCCAAGGAGGGACUAAGAUGGACAGCAGUAUGUGUAAACAGCAGCUGUGGUGAGUUAGUGGCUCGAGAAACUCAUCCUGGCCAGUGGUGGUUUCCUGUACCUGGUGAUAUUACUCAGUAGCCCAGAGUGGACAGAAGGGACUCCAGGUUUGCCCAGUGUUUCCAAGAUGAACAAGAGGUCUGAAGCAGAGAGUAAAACGCUACAGGGCAGUCUCUUCAGGAAAUGACAGUUUUGUUACCUGCCCUGGUGAUGCAGUCACCAUGACCACCGAAGCCAUGACUGUGAACACCACGACCACCACCAAAACUAACAACAUGACUGCCAUCACCGUCAUUUCACACUCAUCACCUUUACCAACAUCAGCAACAUCACCACCACUACCAAAACCAACGUAACGACCACCAUUGCUUUAUCAUUGUCACCACCACCACCAUCACCAACAUCAGCAUCAUUGCGACCACUAAACCUAUGAACGUGACCGCCACGACCAGUACCAUCACUGUCACCACCACAAAUGUCACUAUCACAGCCACCAGAGUCAAGACCAUGACUGUUGUCACCAUAACCGCUGUGACUGCUAUCAACAACCAUGACACCAACAAGGUGGGAGGAUGCUGUUGCUGACCUGCCAGGCUCUGUGGGACCCACCCUCACCAACACAAUGGCCAGCUUGUGCUUCUGGCCACCUGAUCCUCCCUGGCCUCAGGCCUGGCGCCAUGGACAAGGUGUGGGACCAGACACCUGGACCUGAAACUGUCCCCUUGGUGAUCGAGAAUGUAAGAUCCCCCUCUUUCAAAGAACUGGAUCAGUGAGUGAGGCUAAUUGCACCAGGAUCAGCACAAUACAACCUCAGCGGAGGCCUGGAUCUUCAUCCCAGAUAGAAGGCUGAAACUAUCAGGACACUGGCUCAGUCUACUGGCGUGGGUUCGCUGAGGGUUCAGUAGGCUUCAAGGGGGUGGGUCUUCAGGAUAAACAGGUGUGGGUAGGGAGUCGAAGGA